UUUAUGGAGAGUUUGAUCCUGGCUCAGGACGAACGCUGGCGGCGUGCCUAAUACAUGCAAGUCGAGCGAAUUUCAUUGAAAGCUUGCUUUCAAUGGAGUUAGCGGCGGACGGGUGAGUAACACGUAGGUAACCUGCCUACAAGACUGGGAUAACAUUCGGAAACGAAUGCUAAUACCGGAUACGCAAUUUCCUCGCAUGAGGGAAUUGGGAAAGGCGGAGCAAUCUGCCACUUGUAGAUGGACCUGCGGCGCAUUAGCUAGUUGGUGGGGUAACGGCUCACCAAGGCGACGAUGCGUAGCCGACCUGAGAGGGUGAUCGGCCACACUGGGACUGAGACACGGCCCAGACUCCUACGGGAGGCAGCAGUAGGGAAUCUUCCGCAAUGGACGAAAGUCUGACGGAGCAACGCCGCGUGAGUGAUGAAGGUUUUCGGAUCGUAAAGCUCUGUUGCCAGGGAAGAACAACUAGGAGAGUAACUGCUCUUAGUGUGACGGUACCUGAGAAGAAAGCCCCGGCUAACUACGUGCCAGCAGCCGCGGUAAUACGUAGGGGGCAAGCGUUGUCCGGAAUUAUUGGGCGUAAAGCGCGCGCAGGCGGCUUUGUAAGUCUGGUGUUUAAGCUCGGGGCUCAACCCCGAUACGCAUCGGAAACUGCGAGGCUUGAGUACAGAAGAGGAAAGUGGAAUUCCACGUGUAGCGGUGAAAUGCGUAGAGAUGUGGAGGAACACCAGUGGC
rnacentral:rRNA from 1 species